rnacentral:rRNA from 1 species
AGAGUUUGAUCAUGGCUCAGAACGAACGUUGGCGGCGUGCUUAACACAUGCAAGUCGAACGAGAAAGUUCCUUCGGGGACGAGUAAAGUGGCGCACGUGUGAGUAACGCGUAAGUAAUCUACCUUUGCAUCUGGAAUAACUGCGGGAAGCUGUAGCUAAUACCGGGUACGUUCUCCUUUCUACGGAUUGGAGAAGAAAGAUGACACCUCUCUUUAGAAGUUGCCGUAUAGGGAUGAGUCUGCGUACCAUUAGCUAGUAGGUAAGGUAACGGCUUACCUAGGCGACGAUGGUUAGCGGGUCUGAGAGGAUGAUCCGUCACACUGGAACUGAAACACGGACCAGACUCCUACGGGAGGCAGCAGUGAGGAAUAUUGCGCAAUGGGGGAAACCCUGACGCAGCGACGCCGCGUGAGUGAAGAAGGCCUUCGGGUUGUAAAGCUCUGUCAGGUGGGAAGAAGUGGAAUAUGGUUAAUACCCAUAUUUUUUGACGGUACCAUCAGAGGAAGCACCGGCUAACUUCGUGCCAGCAGCCGCGGUAAUACGAAGGGUGCUAGCGUUAUUCGGAAUCACUGGGCGUAAAGUGUGUGUAGGUGGUUUUUUAAGUUUGAUGUGAAAUCCCAUGGCUCAACCGGGGAAGUGCAUCUGAAACUGCAGAGCGGGAGUAUCGGAGGGGAAAGUGGAAUUCCUGGUGUAGAGGUGAAAUUCGUAGAUAUCAGGAGGAAUACCAGUGGCGAAGGCGACCAUCUGGACCGACACUGACACUGAGACACGAAAGCGUGGGUAGCAAACAUGAUUAGAUACCCUGGUAGUCCACGCCGUAAACGAUGUCAACUAGGUGCAGGGGGUGUUGAUCCCCUCUGUGUCGCAGCUAACGCAUUAAGUUGACCGCCUGGGGAGUACGGUCGCAAGAUUAAAACUCAAAGGAAUUGACGGGGGCCCGCACAAGCGGUGGAGUAUGUGGUUUAAUUCGAUGCAACGCGAAGAACCUUACCUGGUCUUGACAUCCCGAAAAAGACCUAGAAAUAGGGAAAUUCUCUCAGAGACUUUGGUUACAGGUGCUGCAUGGCCGUCGUCAGCUCGUGUCGUGAGAUGUUGGGUUAAGUCCCGCAACGAGCGAAACCCCUAUCCUUAGUUGCCAGCAUUAAGUUGGGCACUCUAGGGAGACUGCCUGGGAUAACCAGGAGGAAGGUGGGGAUGACGUCAAGUCCUCAUGGCCCUUAUGUCCAGGGCUACACACGUAAUACAAUGGUGCAUACAAAGGGAAGCGACCUGGCAACAGUGAGCAAAUCUCAAAAAGUGCAUCUCAGUCCGGAUUGGAGUCUGCAACUCGACUCCAUGAAGUUGGAAUCGCUAGUAAUCGCGGAUCAGAAUGCCGCGGUGAAUACGUUCCCGGGCCUUGUACACACCGCCCGUCACACCAUGGGAGUUGAUCUUACCAGAAGACGUUUUACUAACCUUCGGGAGGUAAGCGGCCAAGGUGAGGUCGAUGAUUGGGGUGAAGUCGUAACAAGGUA